rnacentral:lncRNA from 1 species
AAAAAAUUGUCAAACAAGUAAGUGUAGUUGGUGUCUAAGAGAUUCUACUGAAUGUUUUCUCUGAAUUCAUAAAUGCAAUGCAAAAUAUACUUAUUGCAAUUGAAUCCAAUGAAAAUCUGGAAGGUACAGAAUUUUUGAAAAUUUUUGCAUGACCUGGAAAAUUUUUACAUGGGGCAACAGAUAGUGUAUAGACACCAACUACACUGUGCUGGGUUAAAAGGAAUAAUAUUUUGACCCUCAGAAAAGAUGAGUACAAAAAUAAAACUAUUCCAUUGAGUACAAGAAAGGAAUCUGUGGAGGACUCAAGGACAAGAAUCUUAUAGCUUUCUAUAAAGAGAAGAAAUUGGAUCUGCAAAUGGUCUGAAAAUGGCAAGCAGAGUAUGAUAACCUCAGUCACCAAGAGAAUGAGAGAAAUGCUAAAAAGUGCAAGUGUGGAUCAGGUUGGCAAUCAUUGUUUCCCGAGCACAAGAAUCACCUGUGAAUGGAUUACUGACAGAAGUGCAAAGGCUUUGGUUGUGUGCAGAACUGAUAUUCAAGCAUUUGCCCUUGCAAUGACACUACAGCUAGACAUAUCACCAGACGAAUUCA